rnacentral:rRNA from 1 species
AUGGACUACGAAUUCCGCAGCCGGUCGGGAUCCGGCUCCUACGGCGGAGCCGGCGGGGGCGGGGGCGGCUCGUCCCUCUACCCGCGCGUCGGCCAGCCCGCCCACGGCGCCGCCGGCCCACCGCCGCAGCGGGCCGCGCCGUACCUCCACGCCACCGCGGCCCCCUCGUCCCCCGCCGCCCCGCCCCCCGCCCCCUCCUCGUCGUCCUCCACAUCCAUGGGCAUACAAGUUGUUAUAAAGCCAGAAUAUCGGAUAACUCCUCCUCCUCAGUUGGCACCACAGAUGGUAGAAGUUCCCCGCAGCACCUUUAACUUUGAUUUUGAGUAUGAAAGAAAGAUUCUUGCGGAGGCGGAGAAGGAAAACCCCAACUGGGGGAAGUUUGUAAUUGAAAGGCAGACGCCACCACCACCACCACAACAACAACAACAACCACCACAGCCUCCAAGAGGGCCAAGACACUCAACAUCCACUACUUCUAUGGCUACCCCAGGAGAUCCACUUGUGGAGAAGUAUAUGUCUAUGGGGCUUGGACGUGAAGCUGUUUCAUUUGCUGUGCUAAAUUAUGGAGAUAACCCAACGAAGGUGAAGGAGUUUGUGAAAGCCUACAACGCCCUCCACGAGAUGGGGUUCACCUCCCGGAACGUCCCCGAGCUGCUGGCGAUGCACGACAAUGACCCGGACAAAGUUAUCCAGCACCUGCUCAGCACGACAUAG